rnacentral:rRNA from 1 species
GAUGAACGCUGGCGGCGUGCUUAACACAUGCAAGUCGAGCGAGUGAGUUCUUCGGAACGAUCUAGCGGCGGACGGGUGAGUAACACGUGGGCAACCUGCCUCAUAGAGGGGAAUAGCCUCCCGAAAGGGAGAUUAAUACCGCAUAAAAUUAUCGAGUGGCAUCACAUGAUAAUCAAAGGAGUAAUCCGCUAUGAGAUGGGCCCGCGGCGCAUUAGCUAGUUGGUGAGGUAACGGCUCACCAAGGCGACGAUGCGUAGCCAACCUGAGAGGGUGAUCGGCCACAUUGGGACUGAGACACGGCCCAGACUCCUACGGGAGGAAGCAGUGGGGAAUAUUGCACAAUGGGGGAAACCCUGAUGCAGCAACGCCGCGUGAGUGAUGAAGGUCUUCGGAUUGUAAAGCUCUGUCUUUGGGGACGAUAAUGACGGUACCCAAGGAGGAAGCCACGGCUAACUACGUGCCAGCAGCCGCCGUAA